rnacentral:rRNA from 1 species
AGGGUUUGAAUCAUGGGCUCAGAUUGAACGCUGGCGGCAUGCCUAACACAUGCAAGUCGAACGGAAACGAUUAAGAGCUUGCUCUUAAGGCGUCGAGUGGCGGACGGGUGAGUAAUACUUAGGAAUCUACCCAGUAGCGGGGGACAACUCGAGGAAACUCGAGCUAAUACCGCAUACGCCCUACGGGGGAAAGCAGGGGAUCUUCGGACCUUGCACUAUUGGAUGAGCCUAAGUCGGAUUAGCUUGUUGGUGAGGUAAAGGCUCACCAAGGCGACGAUCCGUAGCUGGUCUGAGAGGACGAUCAGCCACACUGGGACUGAGACACGGCCCAGACUCCUACGGGAGGCAGCAGUGGGGAAUAUUGGACAAUGGGGGCAACCCUGAUCCAGCAAUGCCGCGUGUGUGAAGAAGGCCUGCGGGUUGUAAAGCACUUUCAGUAGAGAAGAAAAGCCUACGGUUAAUACCCGUGAGUCUUGACGUUACCUACNGAANAAGCUCCGGCUAACUCCGUGCCAGCAGCCGCGGUAAUACGGAGGGAGCGAGCGUUAAUCGGAAUUACUGGGCGUAAAGCGCGCGUAGGCGGCUUUGUAAGUCGGAUGUGAAAGCCCCUGGGCUCAACCUGGGAA